AACAGGUAACAAAUGACUGGCUGACGAGGCAGUCAUAAUCUUCACUUCGCUCGGGGAGAGAGAGAGGGAGAGAUAGACCUUCAAAGCACUUCCAAUAUGGAACUCUGUGGUGCUACCUCUUUCGCUUGGACUAACUCUAUCACUACCUCUCUUCACAUUACUCAGCCCUUCUCAAUUUAUGGGGCUAAGAGAUUUAGGAUUUGGUGCGUCACCAACGACGCUGGCUCUGCUCAAUCCAACGAGGUUGAUUCAUAUAUUCAACACUCCUCCUUAAGUUGGCGUGAAGAUAUUCAAUAAAUGCAGCUUGUUAAUGGAAGACUAGAACAAAGUUGGUCUUACAGAUUUUGUGAACAUAUCUACCAACUGCUGAGAAGAAGAGACAAAGGAUGGACGUAUAAUGUCAAUCCGAACCUUUUCUUGAAUGAAAUGUAUGUCAACUUCGAUAUGCUUGGUACACUCAUAAAGCACAAAAUCAUAGGAUAAUAUAAUGGCAGAUUUGUUAUCACAAAAUAAAGAGGAAGAAACAGUCUCCUUAAAACCCAACUCUGCCAGAAUAGAGCGAAUCCAAAGAAUCUUAUAUGUUCAAUGUGCCAUAGUUCGAUACUCAGUCUGCAGAAGACCCAGAAACAACUGCAUGCUUUUUACUUUUCCAUGAGAUAAGAUGAUCGCCAUAGAAAGUGCAAAAGGCAGAAGUGGAACGCUCAGUCCUAGAUCCUGCAUAGUCGACAUUAGUGAAACAGGAGAGCCCAGAUUGGAGACCAACGGUAAAGAACAACCCCAAGCCAGAAAAAAUCUUCAAAUACCUCAAAAUAUGAUGAACCACGUCAAGGUGCUCUUUAUGAGGUACAUGCAUGAACUGACUCACAACACUAAUCACAAAUGUCAAGUCAGGUCUAGUGUUGAUCAAAGAGGCGUCCAACGAGACGCUGAUACAUGCCUGGGUCAUCUAGCAACUUACCAAACUCUGAUGUGAGUUUGACAUUAGGAUUCAUAAGAGUAGAAGCAAGUUUACACCCUAACAUACUAGUAUCCUGAAGCAAGUCAAGGGUGUAUUUUCUUUGAGACAAUGAGAUCCCCUCCCUGGAGCGAGCCACUUCAAUUCUUAGAAAAUAUUUGAGACAUCCUAGAUCCUUUUUAUCAAAAUUUUGGCCCAAGUCCUUCUUUACUUGACCAAUGUCGACGGAGUCAUCACUUGUGAAAAUAAUAUCAUCCACACAAACCAACAAGAUUAUAUACUGACUUGCAGAAUUCCGACGAAUGAAACAAGUGUGAUCGGAGUGUCACUGAACAAAGCCCAUAGAUAUAAUAACAGAACUGAAGCGACUAAAUCACGCUCAUGGAGACUAUUUCAGACCAUACAAGGAUUUGUGUAACCGGUACACUUUUUCUGAAUACUCCCCUUCAACCUGAAAAUCAGGUGGAGGAGCCAUGUCAAUCGUCUCAAGAAGAUCCCCAUGGAGAAAUACAUUAUUGACAUCAAACUGAUGAAGAGGCCAAGAAUGAGAUACUACAAGGGAGAUAUAGAGACGUACAAAAGUAAGCUUGGUGACAGGGGCAAAAGUGGCACUAAAAUCCUUUCCAGGAAUUUGUGUGAAACCUUUGGCCACUAAGCGAGCUUUGUAAUGGUCAACUGAGCCAUUAGCGAGGUACUUUAUGGUGAACACCCA